UACAGAGGGUGCGAACGUUGCUCGGAAUUACUGGGCGUAAAGCGCGUGUAGGCGGAGCCGCAAGUCAGAUGUGAAAGCCCCGGGCUCAACCCGGGAACUGCAUCUGAAACUGCGGUUCUUGAGUACUGGAGAGGGUGGCGGAAUUCCUGGUGUAGAGGUGAAAUUCGUAGAUAUCAGGAGGAACACCAAUGGCGAAGGCAGCUCGCUGGGACGUGACUGACGCUGAGACGCGAAAGCGUGGGGAGCAAACAGG
rnacentral:rRNA from 1 species